rnacentral:rRNA from 1 species
AAAUAAUUUUUCGUGGCGUACGGGUGAGUAAUACACAGGAAUCUGCCUUUUAGUUCAGGAUAAAAUUCUGAAUAACAAAAGAAAACUUUUCGCUAAAAGAUGAGCCUGUGUAGGAUUACGUAGUUGGUAUUUGGGUAAAGGCCUACCAAGCCUAUGAUCCUUAGCUGUUCUGAGAGGUUGUACAGCCACACUGGGACUGAGACAAGGCCCAGGCUUCAUUUGGAGCCAGCAGUGAGGAAUUUUGGACAAUGAGCGAAAGCUUGAUCCAGCAAUACUACAUGAGUGAUGAAGGCUUUCAAGUUGUAAAACUCUUUGGUUGAGGAGGAUAAUGACAGUACUCAACAAAAUAGCCCCGGCUAACUUCGUGCCAGCAGCCGCGGUAAUACGAAGGGGGCGAGCGUUAUCCGGAAUGACUGGGCGUAAAGGGUCCGUAGGCAGCAUUUUUUGUUAGGGGUUAAAUAAAAAAGCUUAACUUUUUUCCGCUUCUAAAACGUAAAUGCUUUGAGUUUGAUAGGAGAUAGCAGAAUUUCACAUGGAGGGGUGAUAUCCGUAGAUAUGUGAAGGAAUACCAGAGGCGAAGGCGGCUACCUAGAUCAAUACUGACGUUGAGGGACGAAAGCAUGGGGAGCAAACAGGAUUAGAUACCCUGGUAGUCCAUGCCCUAAAAGAUGAGUGCUCGUGCUUAGAUAUUUUUAGGCACUUAGUUAAC